rnacentral:misc_RNA from 1 species
CAUUGAUCGGAAAAAAUUGAAAAACUCAACNUGAGGGGGGAGAAAGAAAUAAUAGUAACUUGGUYUAGGGCAUCUACCAUUAUACCCACAAUGAUCGGCCAUACAAUCGCUAUUCAUAAUGGAAAGGAGCAUUUACCUAUUUAUAUAACAGAUCCGUAUGGUAGGUCAUAAAUUGGGAGAAUUCGCGCCUACUCUUUUUACUUAAUUUAUUUAAUUUAUGGGUUGGUUAUGUGCAAAACACUAUUGAAUCAAACAUCAAACAAGGGGGCAAUACCCAAUAUCUUGUUCUAACAAGAUAUUGGGUAUUGUUCCUUCAACGAUUCGUAUACACUAAGACAGAAGUCUUAUCCAUUGUAGAUGGAGCKUCAAAAGCAGCUAGGUCU